UACGGAGGGUGCAAGCGUUAUCCGGAUUCACUGGGUUUAAAGGGUGCGUAGGAGGGCAGGUAAGUCAGUGGUGAAAUCUCCAAGCUUAACUUGGAAACUGCCGUUGAUACUAUCUGUCUUGAAUACCGUGGAGGUGAGCGGAAUAUGUCAUGUAGCGGUGAAAUGCUUAGAUAUGACAUGGAACACCAAUUGCGAAGGCAGCUCGCUACACGAAUAUUGACUCUGAGGCACGAAAGCGUGGGGAUCAAACAGG
rnacentral:rRNA from 1 species